GACGAACGCUGGCGGCGUGCCUAAUACAUGCAAGUUGAGCGCUGAAGGUUGGUACUUGUACCAACUGGAUGAGCAGCGAACGGGUGUGUAACGCGUGGGGCAUCUGCCUUUGAGCGGGGGACAACAUUUGGAAACGAAUGCUAAUACCGCAUAAGAACUUUAAACACAAGUUUUAUGUUUGAAAGAUGCAAUUGCAUCACUCAAAGAUGAUCCCGCGUUGUAUUAGCUAGUUGGUGAGGUAAAGGCUCACCAAGGCGAUGAUACAUAGCCGACCUGAGAGGACGAUCAGCCGCCUUGGGACGGAGACACGGCCCAAACUCCUACGGGAGGCAGCAGUAGGGAAACUUCAGCAAUAGACGAAAGUCUGACCGAGAAACGCCGCGUGAGUGAAGAAGGUUUUCGGAUCGUAAAACUCUGUUGGUAGAGAAGAACGUUGGUGAGAGUGGAAAGCUCAUAAAGUGACGGUAACUACCCAGAAAGGGACGGCUAACUACGUG
rnacentral:rRNA from 1 species